rfam:Kocuria flava strain HO-9041, complete genome.
CCGGUGUCCCGUUCCCCCGAUAGGGACGCCUGACGGGCCCUGCCGAUCCCCCCAUGCGGCAGGGCCCGUCCCAU